UACAGGGGGGGCAAGCGUUGUUCGGAAUUACUGGGCGUAAAGGGCUCGUAGGCGGCCAACUAAGUCAGACGUGAAAUCCCUCAGCUUAACUGGGGAACUGCGUCUGAUACUGGAUGGCUUGAGUUUGGGAGAGGGAUGCGGAAUUCCAGGUGUAGCGGUGAAAUGCGUAGAUAUCUGGAGGAACACCGGUGGCGAAGGCGGCAUCCUGGACCAACACUGACACUGAGGAGCGAAAGCCAGGGGAGCAAACGGG
rnacentral:rRNA from 1 species